rnacentral:rRNA from 1 species
CCGGCACGGGUGAGUAACACGUAUCCAACCUGCCGUCUACUCUUGGACAGCCUUCUGAAAGGAAGAUUAAUACAAGAUGGCAUCAUGAGUCCGCAUGUUCACAUGAUUAAAGGUAUUCCGGUAGACGAUGGGGAUGCGUUCCAUUAGAUAGUAGGCGGGGUAACGGCCCACCUAGUCUUCGAUGGAUAGGGGUUCCGAGAGGAAGGUCCCCCACAUUGGGACUGAGACACGGUCCAA